rnacentral:rRNA from 1 species
UACGUAGGGCGCAAGCGUUGUCCGGAAUUAUUGGGCGUAAAGAGCUCGUAGGUGGCGUGUCGCGUCUGCCGUGAAAGCCCAUGGCUUAACUGUGGGUCUGCGGUGGAUACGGGCAGGCUGGAGGCUGGUAGGGGCAAGCGGAAUUCCUGGUGUAGCGGUGAAAUGCGCAGAUAUCAAGAGGAACACCUGAGGUGAAGACGGGUUGCUGGGCUGACACUGACGCUGAGUGCGCGAAAGCCAGGGGAGCAAACGGG